rnacentral:rRNA from 1 species
UACGUAGGAUGCAAGCGUUGUCCGGAAUUAUUGGGACGUAAAGAGCGAGCAGGCGGUUUGGAAAGUUGGACGUGAAAUUUUAGGGCUUAACCCUAAAGGGUCGUUCCAAAACUCCCAGACUAGAGUGCAGGAGAGGAAAGCGGAAUUCCCGGUGUGAGUGGUGAAAUGCGUAGAUAUCGGGAAGGAACACCAGAGGCGAAGGCGGCUUUCUGGCCUGUAACU